CUCCGGUUGAUCCCGCCGGACCCGACUGCUAUCAGAGUGGGACUAAGCCAUGCGAGUCGACGUAGCAAUGCGUGGCGAACGGCUCAGUAACACGUAGUCAACAUGCCCAGGGGACGUGGAUAACCUCGGGAAACUGAGAAUAAACCACGAUAGGUCACGAUUUCUGGAAUGGAUCAUGGCCUAAAUCUACAUGGCCCCUGGAUUGGACUGCGGCCGAUCAGGCUGUUGGUGAGGUAAUGGCCCACCAAACCUAUAACCGGUACGGGCUCUGAGAGGAGAAGCCCGGAGAUGGGCACUGAGACAAGGGCCCAGGCCCUAUGGGGCGCAGCAGGCGCGAAACCUCUGCAAUAGGCGAAAGCCUGACAGGGUUACUCUGAGUGAUUUCCGCUAAGGGGAUCUUUUGGCACCUCUAAAAAUGGUGCAGAAUAAGGGGUGGGCAAGUCUGGUGUCAGCCGCCGCGGUAAUACCAGCACCCCGAGUGGUCGGGACGAUUAUUGGGCCUAAAGCAUCCGUAGCCGGUUCUGCAAGUCUUCCGUUAAAUCCAGCCGCUCAACGGAUGGGCCGCGGAGGAUACUACAGGACUAGGAGGCGGGAGAGGCAAGCGGUACUCAGUGGGUAGGGGUAAAAUCCUUUGAUCCAUUGAAGACCACCAGUGGCGAAGGCGGCUUGCCAGAACGCGCUCGACGGUGAGGGAUGAAAGCUGGGGGAGCAAACCGGAUUAGAUACCCGGGUAGUCCCAGCUGUAAACGAUGCAGACUCGGUGAUGGGCUAGCCUUGUGCCAGCCCAGUGCCGUAGGGAAGCCGUUAAGUCUGCCGCCUGGGGAGUACGGUCGCAAGACUGAAACUUAAAGGAAUUGGGCGGGGGAGCA
rnacentral:rRNA from 1 species